AGUAAAUACCUUCAAAGGUUCAUUUCCCUGAAACUGUAGAAAGGACAAAAUCUCUCCAUAUGGAUUUUGAGAGCAUUUGUGAGGGUGACAAGCAACUGGGAUCUGGAUGCCAUCUUCUGUAAUCCAGGAAUCAUGAACCUAUGGCUUUCUAAAUGUUGCUCAACUUACUGGAGUUGAGAGAUCUCCCACCAUUGUCCAUGAUGUCUAAGGCUGAUUACAGUGGAAUUCCAGCUGUUGACAGCGGCAAAAUGUUCUUUCUUUGCAACCUCAAGGGAGAGGCUCUGGGGCCCAGCCAGGAGGCUAUAGAAUGAAUUCUCGGCAUAACAGGUUAUAUAACCGGCUCUUUUGAAAAAGGGGAAGCGAGCAGCAGCAGCGGCAACAACAACGCCCCAUUGUAUCUACAAAGACCAACAAUUCCAGCAAGCCACCCAGAUGCAGACUGCCCUUUGCCUUGGGUUUUAUUUACUUCUCACUGGCUGGAUAGAAACGGCUGGGCUGUUUUCUGUUUGCGGGCUCUCCCCCUUGGCAGUCGGUCGGGCUUGCCUUAACAGCGCCUUGUUAAACGGAGCCUGGCGUCCUCAGUCAGAGGGAGGGGAGAUGAUUUAUUCUUACUGAGCGAGGAUUGUCUUUCCCGGCUGUUGGCUGGCGUUGUUUCUUUUCUGUGCGGUGGCUCUAAAGGCAUCAGCUUGUGCCAACUGCAUUCCAAGAAGGGAAAGGAAGCAAAAGGCCAGGCUGAGCACAAGGAAACAUGCUCGAACUGUAAGAGGAGAAAGGAAGAGGCGAGGCCCCUGGGGAAAAUGCAAAGUAAAAUCUCCUUUCUCUGCUACCUCCUUGUUUACAUUAGGUGAUUUAUGUUGGGUACUUUCUAAAAAAAGAACGCUACGUUUUCAGCCUGUGCAUUGUUGGAAUGAAAUGGAGCAAUGGGGGGGGGGGGGCAGAGAAAUC